GCCCCUAUAGCUCAGCCGGUAGAGCAGCAGCCUUUUAAGCUGACGGUCGCAGGUUCGAUCCCUGCUGGGGGCACAA
rnacentral:tRNA from 1 species